AAGCACGAAAUUAAUGGAUAAAAUGUGAGGUAUUUUGAAAAGAACUUGACUUUGAAUCAAGGAUUUUUUGUUCUCUUUAAAAUAUCAUUUUUAAUCACCAAUUAAUUAUUUAAUUAGAUAAAACUAAGUAAAUAAAAAAGUUAAAAAUGAAAAUGAUAUGAGAUACAAUUAGUAAGAGAGUAAUGAGGAGUUAGUAAAACGUAUUGGGAAAAGCGCAAUAAAAAUCAC
rnacentral:lncRNA from 1 species